GACGAACGCUGGCGGCGUGCUUAACACAUGCAAGUCGAGCGGAAGGGCGCUGCGUUUGUGGGUUUCUCGAUUGGCGAACGGGGGAGUAACACGUGAGUAACCUGCCCUUGACUUUGGGGGAACUUCAGGGAACUCGGGCGAAUAUCGGAUAGGAGCUCCUGCUGCAUGGGGGGGGUUGGAAAGUUUCGGCGUUUGGGGCUGUAUUCGCGGGUUAUCAGCUGGUUGGUGGGGUAGUGGUUUACCAAGGUUUUGACGGGUAGCCGGCCUGGGAGGGUGACCGGCCACCAGGGGCCUGCGAGACGGACCAGAAGCCUACGGGCGGCAGCAGUCGGGAACAUUGCACAAUGGGGGGAAGCCUGAUGCAGCAACGCCCGGUGCGGGAUGCCGGCUUUCGGGUUGUAAACCGAUUUGGAAGGUGAUGAAGAGUGCGUGACGGUAAUGGGUAAAGAAGCAACGGCUAACUACGUG
rnacentral:rRNA from 1 species